GUGGGGAAUCUUGCGCAAUGGGCGAAAGCCUGACGCAGUCAUGCCGCGUGAAUGAUGAAGGUCUUAGGAUUGUAAAAUUCUUUCACCGGGGACGAUAAUGACGGUACCCGGAGAAGAAGCUCCGGCUAACUUCGUGCCAGCAGCCGCGGUAAUACGAAGGGGGCUAGCGUUGCUCGGAAUUACUGGGCGUAAAGGGCGCGUAGGCGGACAGCUUAGUCAGAGGUGAAAGCCCAGGGCUCAACCUUGGAAUUGCCUUUGAUACUGGCUGUCUUGAGUUUGGGAGAGGUGAGUGGAACUCCGAGUGUAGAGGUGAAAUUCGUAGAUAUUCGGAAGAACACCAGUGGCGAAGGCGACUCACUGGCCCAAUACUGACGCUGAGGCGCGAAAGCGUGGGGAGCAAACAGGAUUAGAAACCCGGGUAGUCC
rnacentral:rRNA from 1 species